rnacentral:rRNA from 1 species
CCCGACUGCUAUUUGGGUGAGGAUAAGCCAUGCGAGUCGAAUGGGAUACCUAAAUUUCCCAUGGCGAGCUGCUCAAUAACACAUGAUCAACUUACCCUAUAGAGAAAAAUAACCUCGGGAAACUGAGGAUAAUGUUUCAUAGUUGAAAAGGCUUGGAAAAGUUUUUCGACCAAAGGGAUAAGAAAAAUGGUUUUUAUCCGCUAUAGGAUAGGAUCGUGGUCGAUUAUGGUCGUUGGUGAGGUAAUGGCUCACCAAGCCGAUAAUCGAUAGGGGCCGUGAGAGCGGGAGCCCCGAGAUGGGUACUGAGACAGCGACCCAGGCCUUACGAGGCGCAGCAGGCGCGGAACCUCCGCAAUACACGAAAGUGUGACGGGGUUACCCAAAAGUGUUCAAUUUUGAACUGUGGUGGGUGAGUAAUGUUCCCUACUAGAAAGGAGAGGGCAAGGCUGGUGCCAGCCGCCGCGGUAAAACCAGCUCUUCAAGUGGUCGGGAUAAUAUUGGGCUUAAAGUGUCCGUAGCCGGUUUAGUAAGUUCCUGGUAAAAUCGGGUAGCUUAACUAUCUGCAUGCUAGGAAUACUGCUAUACUAGAGGACGGGAGAGGUCUGAGGUACUACAGGGGUAGGGGUGAAAUCUUAUAAUCCUUGUAGGACCACCAGUGGCGAAGGCGUCAGACUGGAACGUGCCUGACGGUGAGGGACGAAAGCCAGGGGAGCGAACCGGAUUAGAUACCCGGGUAGUCCUGGCCGUAAACGAUGCAUACUAGGUGAUGGCAUGGCCAUGAGCCAUGUCAGUGCCGUAGGGAAACCGUUAAGUGUGCCGCCUGGGGAGUACGGUCGCAAGGCUAAAACUUAAAGGAAUUGGCGGGGGAGCACCACAAGGGGUGAAGCCUGCGGUUCA